UCUGGUGACAAUAGCGAAGAGGUCACACCUGUUCCCAUACCGAACACAGAAGUUAAGCUCUUCAGCGCUGAUGAUACUUGGUGGGUGACUGCCUGGGAAAGUAGGACGUCGCCGGUU
rfam:Dethiosulfatibacter aminovorans DSM 17477 genome assembly, contig: EJ55DRAFT_scaffold00004.4